UAAAGCGUGCGCAGGCGGUAUGUAAGACAGAUGUGAAAUCCCCGGGCUCAACCUGGGAACUGCAUUAGUGACUGCAUAGCUGGAGUACGGCAGAGGGGGAUGGAAUUCCGCGUGUAGCAGUGAAAUGCGUAGAUAUGCGGAGGAACACCGAUGGCGAAGGCAAUCCCCUGGGCCUGUACUGACGCUCAUGCACGAAAGCGUGGGGAGCAAACAGGAUUAGAUACCCUAGU
rnacentral:rRNA from 1 species